UACAGAGGAUGCAAGCGUUAUCCGGAAUGAUUGGGCGUAAAGCGUCUGUAGGUGGCUUUUUAAGUCCGCCGUCAAAUCCCAGGGCUCAACUCUGGACAGGCGGUGGAAACUACCAAGCUGGAGUACGGUAGGGGCAGAGGGAAUUUCCGGUGGAGCGGUGAAAUGCGUAGAGACCCGGAGGAACACCAGUGGCGAAGGCGGCGUCCUGGCCUGCGACUGACGCUGUGGCGCGAAAGCUAGGGGAGCGAACGGG
rnacentral:rRNA from 1 species